UACAAGUACUAAAUAUGGUGCACGUAGAUUUUCGACAUUUUCGAAGAUAAUGUAAACUUAACGGGCCGGGUUUAACCCAAACCCGGCCUAGUAGUCCGCUGCAACUUUUGAUUAAUGGCGAAGUAAUCAAGGCUAGGCUAGGGUUUAAGCUCCCAUUCAUCUCUUUGCAACGACGAAAAGAUGUUUCCAAUGUUGCGUAAACCUGACAAAGCAGCUGCUCUGAAGCAGCUGAAGACUCAUGUGGCCCUCUUUGGUGCUUGGGUUGCCGUAAUUCGGGUCACCCCUUAUAUCCUUCAUUAUUUUUCCGAUCAGAAAGAAGAACUCUUGCUCGAGCUCUAGAUUCCUAAUCGGUUUCUCUAGAGGAAGGAAGGAAUGUUUGGAAGAAGGGAGCCAGGUGUUCUCUAUGCAUCUUUCGACCCCUUGCUCUAAUUCAUUUCUCUCUAUAUUUCAUUUUCGUUUGUCCCUAUGGUUGUGAAACUUGUCAAGUGGGCAUAUAAUUAGGAAUAAAAAAUUUGUUGUGGAAAGUCUCUUUCAGUUUCUCAGUUUUAUGGACACCUAAUUCAUAUGUGAAUUUUUGAUGGCUUUUCACAGCUAGAUUAGAUACCCAUCGAAUGCAUAGAUGAUCCCAUAAAUGAAGAAGCUGGUAUUUAGCGCUCUUCUAUCUGUAAAAAUAUAGCCACUAAUUCGUCUGUGGUUAUGUUUUUUCUUCUGAAACCCAAUGCAGUUCUAACAAUCGAUCAUCUAAGACCUUCCACUGC